AAGAUUGUUACGAUAAUUAGGACUUGUUUACUGCAUUUUUUUUUUCUUUAUUAUUUAAGGGGUUUUUAUCCAAACGGAUACGUCAACCCCAUCGUACCUUAUUAUCUAAUUUACACUCAGCUAAUCAUAUAUAAAAAUUAUUUAACUUUUUGAAAACUAUCCAUUAUUGAAAAAGUUUAAAUGUCCUAAAAUGUCUUCUCCAAAUAUUAUAUUGAUCAAAAAAUUCUUUAGUUCUUCUCCAAUAAUUUUUUCAAUGACAUUGCUAUUUGUUUACUGCAUUUGGUGACCGUCAUCUCACGAAUCUAUUUAAGUGGGGUAAGCUUGCCGAACAAGUCAUGUGUCGGUUGGCUUUCGCACAGGACGGUCGUGAGGUGUCGGCGCUAUUUGCUGUCAUCAUGUCUCCGAAAUUCUUAAUCUUGGUGCUGUUCAGCUUUCUGUACCUGGUAGCUCCUUCCUUCUGCCAAGAUUCAAAUACCAAUAAGGUCUUCUUAUAUGCUCGUCCAGGGUUUUAUGGUCAACGACAAAGUGGAUAUAAUGAAUAUUUCCGUGAGAAACCUAGAGAUAAGUGAAUAAAAUAUUGCAUUAUUCUAAAAAAUACAUAUCAUUGUGCUAGAAAGUGGAUUUGAACAACGCAAGCCUGUUCUAUGUACUGAAAGGUUUAAAAUAAAAAGGAUUGUUUAUUU